rnacentral:rRNA from 1 species
GAAUGUGAAAAGCCCCCGGCUCAACCGGGGAGGGUCAUUGGAAACUGGGGAACUUGAGUGCAGAAGAGGAGAGUGGAAUUCCACGUGUAGCGGUGAAAUGCGUAGAGAUGUGGAGGAACACCAGUGGCGAAGGCGACUCUCUGGUCUGUAACUGACGCUGAGGAGCGAAAGCGUGGGGAGCGAACAGGAUUAGAUACCCUGGUAGUCCACGCCGUAAACGAUGAGUGCUAAGUGUUAGGGGGUUUCCGCCCCUUAGUGCUGCAGCUAACGCAUUAAGCACUCCGCCUGGGGAGUACGGUCGCAAGACUGAAACUCAAAGGAAUUGACGGGGGCCCGCACAAGCGGUGGAGCAUGUGGUUUAAUUCGAAGCAACGCGAAGAACCUUACCAGGUCUUGACAUCCUCUGACAAUCCUAGAGAUAGGACGUCCCCUUCGGGGGCAGAGUGACAGGUGGUGCAUGGUUGUCGUCAGCUCGUGUCGUGAGAUGUUGCGUUAAGUCCCGCAACGAGCGCUACCCUUGAUCUUAGUUGCCAGCAU